rnacentral:rRNA from 1 species
UACGGAAGGCAGCAGUGGGGAAUAUUGCACAAUGGGCGCAAGCCUGAUGCAGUCAUGCCGCGUGUAUGAAGAAGGCCUUCGGGUUGUAAAGUACUUUCAGUCGUGAGGAAGGUGUUAAGGUUAAUAACCUUAGCAAUUGACGUUAGCGACAGAAGAAGCACCGGCUAACUCCGUGCCAGCAGCCGCGGUAAUACGGAGGGUGCGAGCGUUAAUCGGAAUUACUGGGCGUAAAGGGCACGCAGGCGGUUAAUUAAGUUGGAUGUGAAAUCCCCGGGCUUAACCUGGGAAUGGCAUUCAAGACUGGUUAGCUAGAGUCUUGUAGAGGGGGUAGAAUUCCAUGUGUAGCGGUGAAAUGCGUAGAGAUGUGGAGGAAUACCGGUGGCGAAGGCGGCCCCUGGACAAAGACUGACGCUCAUGUGCGAAAGCGUGGGGAGCGAAACAGGGAUUAGAU